CUUAUUUCAUUUCGAUCGAGCUCUCUUUUUCCCUCUCUUUUUCUCUGAACAGCGCUCUCUUUCCCUCUCUUUCUCUCUUACUUCCUCCUCAACCUAACCCUUACAUCUCUCUCACCUAGCCAAAGAAUCCCUAACCUCCUUCUACUGUGUUUGUGUUUACCCCAAACCUUCGUUGGUUGGUUGAAGAAACAGAGAACGUUUCUGCAGCUACACUACAUAAGCGCUCCAUUUGACUUCACCCACCGAACAACCCACUUUUCCACCCCUUCAUCACUAAUCCCUAUCAGGAGCAGAAGUUGGGAUAAGGCAACCCAACGAUAUUGUCCCAAAGUCAAGUAAUAACGAAAUUAAUGGAUCGGGAUUUGAGCCACAAAACCAUCAAUAUACUUACGCUGAAGUAAUGAGAAUUACCAACAACUUUGAGAAAGUUAUUGGAAAAGGAGGAUUUGGAACUGUUUAUCAUGGCUUCUUAAACAACACUCAAGUGGCAGUCAAGAUGCUCUCGGAGUCAUCAGCUCAGGGCUACAAGGAGCUUCAAGCCGAGCUUUUCAAUUGUGGUAGUAUCUUUUGAAGAAAUUGUUUGAACGCUAGCUUGGAAUUGGUAAGCUACUCAAACUUUAUUUCUUUAUAUUUUAUAAAUCCUAGAAGAGUUUGAAUAUCCUAGAUAUUCAUCCAUAGUGAAGUAAGUUCUGGAAUUGCAUGACUGCGGUCGGAUGGGUGGUAAUAUUUGUACUGUUAAUUAUAGUUUUGUUUGUUUGUAUUAUUGUGGAUGUUUUAAUAGAUUAGUUACAUGUUUAAAAUUUUCGGGAACGUCCGAAUUAUAGAUGUUAUGCUGUCGAAAUUUCGGUAGAAAUUUCAGUAGGAUUAAUAUUUUAUUAAAUUAAUUAGGUUAAGUUGAUAUAGAAUUAUUUUAUUGUAUUAAUUAGGUUAAUUAAAUUGUUGUUUUGUUGUUUUGUUAGAAGUUUCGAAAUGGAUAGAGAUUGGAUGAGUGCGAAUAGGUUAACGGUAAAAUAUAGGGAAGGUGUUGACUUCUUUUUGGAGUUUUCUGCAAAGAAUGCGGAUAAUCCUGAUUUGGUUCAUUGCCCAUGUCUCAAAUGUGGUAACAUGGAGCGUAUGAAAAUUGCCCAAAUAAGAGAACAUUUGUUUAAGAACGGUAUAGACAGGAGUUAUAAGGUUUGGUAUCACCACGGAGAAAAAAUUAGAAGAUCGGGCGAGGGACCCUCUAGAAAGGAUAAGAUUGUUAAUAAUGUGGAGUAUGAAGAUGAUCA